rnacentral:tRNA from 1 species
CCUCUCAUGGCGUAGUGGUUAACGCGCCCCAACUAGAGAUCGGGGAUUCGUGAGUUCGAUUCUCACUGAGACGA